rnacentral:rRNA from 1 species
CUUACCAGGUCUUGACAUCCCGAUGCAAACUCUAGAGAUAGAGUCCUUCUUCGGAACAUUGGAGACAGGUGGUGCAUGGUUGUCGUCAGCUCGUGUCGUGAGAUGUUGGGUUAAGUCCCGCAACGAGCGCAACCCUUGAUCUUAGUCGCCAGCAAUUCGGUUGGGCACNNUAAGGUGACUGCCGGUGACAAACCGGAGGAAGGUGGGGAUGACGUCAAAUCAUCAUGCCCCUUAUGACCUGGGCUACACACGUACUACAAUGGCUGGUACAACGGGAAGAGAAGCCGCGAGGUGGAGCGAAUCCUAAAAAG